UCAAGCGGCGGCACUGGCGGCCUGGACUCCAUCCGGGUCCUGGGCGCUGCUCUGGGUCACCCUGCGGCAGGUUACACAGCAAGUGACCAGUGUCUUCCCAUGAGUCAGGAAGAAUCUUACGUGGUGCAGCAUGAUAUCAAUCUUCAUCUUUACAGUUGUGAAGAUUACUAAAGGAAGGGAACAAGCACCUGGAAAUUAACCAGUGGCUAGCUGGCUAAUGAGUUUUCUUAUGGCUAUACUGAAUAAAGAAAACAGUUUAUGAACUGAACUUAAAAACUCAUCCCUUUAUGAGCAGGUAAAUUCCAACUGCUUUUACAAUAAAACCAGGAUGGUGACCUUUAAAGAGAUAGUGAACCCAUUCCUAUAGUGGUAGAUCAAAAGUAUCUGUAGAUGGUAGUGCUCUUGAACAUAAUUAAUUUUAGACAAAGACGACAAAUUCUUUAAUUGGAUUUUGUCACCGAUGCAAUCAGAUGUUACCAAAGUUGUGUGAAUCAUCUAAGAAAACAUACCUGCUUUUCAUUUGAAGAAACAUUUUUGUAAGUUUGCUGUCUGAUGGGUACUAGUAUUUAAUUGCAUGCAAGACAAAAUACAGUCAGCAUUAUCAGGUGGAGGGGACGGUUUAAAAACAUUCAGGACAUGCUAUAGAAUGGGUUUUUUUGAAGAAUGCUGUAACGAAGUGUCACCAUGUGUUUCUUAUGAAGUAACACACCUACUAUGCAAAGCUAGCUAAGGUAACUACCAGCUGCACAAUUAAUGGCAAAUUUGAAUCUAUAUAGAUUGUUCCUCAU